CCCUUAGAUGUUCUGGGCCGCACACGCGCUACACUGAAGGAGGCAGCGUGUACUCCUGGAUCGGAAGAUUUGGGUAACCCGCGAAUCUCCUUCGUGCUAGGGAUUGAGGUUUGCAAUUAUCCUUCAUGAACGAGGAAUUCCCAGUAAGUGCAAGUCAUAAGCUUGCGCUGACUACGUCCCUGCCCUUUGUACACACCGCCCGUCGCUACUACCGAUUGAAUGAUUUAGUGAGGACUUCGGACUGGGACCGAUGCGGCUUUCGGGCUGCGUCGGUAUUCUGGAAAGAUGUCCAAACUGUAUCAUUUAGAGGAAGUAAAAGUCGUAGCA
rnacentral:rRNA from 1 species